GCCUUUGUGGUGUAGUGGUGAGCACGCUCGGCGCGUAUUUCAGAGGUCUAAGGUUCCAGUCCUGGCGAGGGCA
rnacentral:tRNA from 1 species